rnacentral:rRNA from 1 species
AUUGAACGCUGGCGGCGUGCUUAACACAUGCAAGUCGAACGCGAAAGGGACUUCGGUCCUGGGUAAAGUGGCGCACGGGUGAGUAACGCGUGGAUAAUCUGCCCUUAUGAUCGGGAUAACAGUUGGAAACGGCUGCUAAUACCGGAUACGCUCAAAAUGAACUUUUUGAGGAAAGAUGGCCUCUGCUUGCAUGCUAUCGCGUAAGGAUGAGUCCGCGUCCCAUUAGCUUGUUGGCGGGGUAACGGCCCACCAAGGCAUCGAUGGGUAGCCGAUUUGAGAGGAUGAUCGGCCAUACUGGAACUGAAACACGGUCCAGACUCCUACGGGAGGCAGCAGUGGGGAAUAUUGCGCAAUGGGCGAAAGCCUGACGCAGCGACGCCGCGUGAGGGAUGAAGGUUUUCGGAUCGUAAACCUCUGUCAGAAGGGAAGAAACUACGUUGUGCUAAUCAGCAGCGUACUGACGGUACCUUCAAAGGAAGCACCGGCUAACUCCGUGCCAGCAGCCGCAGUAA